rnacentral:rRNA from 1 species
AACCCCUGCAUCCAGUUGCCAUCGGGCGAGCCGGGCACGUCUGGAGGGACUGCCGGCGACAAGCCGGAGGAAGGUGGGGAUGACGUCAAGUCAUCAUGGCCCUUAUGUCCAGGGCGACACACGUGCUACAAUGGCCGGCACAGCGGGAAGCGGAGGGGCGACCCUGAGCGGAUCCCUUGAAAGCCGGUCCCAGUUCGGAUUGCAGUCUGCAACUCGACUGCAUGAAGUUGGAAUCGCUAGUAAUCGCGGAUCAGCCAAGCCGCGGUGAAUACGUUCCCGGGCCGUU